GAAAUGCGAUAAGUAGUGUGAAUUGCAGAAUUCAGUGAAUCAUCGAAUCUUUGAACGCACAUUGCGCCCCUUGGUAUUCCAUGGGGCAUGCCUGUUCGAGCGUCAUUUGUACCCUCAAGCUCUGCUUGGUGUUGGGUGUUUGUCCCCGUCUCCGCGCGUGGACUCGCCCCAAAGUGAUUGGCAGCCGGCGUACUGGUCCCGGAGCGCAGCACAUGUCGCGCAAACGAGUGCCUUGGUACGGCGGCGUCCAUAAGCCCCUCUCUCACGCUCUUGACCUCGGAUCAGGUAGGGAUACCCGCUCAACUUAAGC
rnacentral:misc_RNA from 1 species